rnacentral:misc_RNA from 1 species
ACUUAAAAAUAUAAACCUCCACCGACUUUCUGCUGGUGUGCUAAACCAACUGUUCAUUUCCAAGGAGUUCCCCACAGAAAACCAUGAUUAUUGUACGAUAGCAAAACACAAAUAAGAACUCGAGCUUUAUGACAAACAAUUAUAAGGGCACACAGAGCAGGCAACUAUGAUCUUAGUAUAUCAUAUAAAUUGGAUGAACAGAACAAUGGGGCAUAAAACUCCCUUCCAGAUGAAGGAAAAGAAAUCAAUGAGAAAUAGGACAAAAAGAGUAGCACUGAA